rnacentral:rRNA from 1 species
AUGGAGGUGGUGACCGGUGCCAUGGGAAGCCUGCUCCCCAAGCUUGGCGAGCUGCUCGUGGGUGAGUACAAGCUGCUGAAGGGUGUCAAGAAAGAUGUUGAGUCCCUUGAGAGGGAGAUGAAGAGCAUGAACGCUGCACUUGUCAAGAUGGCGGAGGUGCCAAGGGACCAGCUGGAUAACCAGGUCAUCAUCUGGGCUGAUGAGCUCAGGGAGCUAUCGUACGACAUGGAGGAUGUUGUCGACAACUUCCUGGUGUGCGCCGAGGGUUCUCAAUCUGAUGCCAUCGCCGACUCAAACAACCUCAAAAGGCUGGUAGGGAAGAUGGCCAACUUGUUCACCAAAGGCAAGACACGCCAUCAGAUCGGCAAUGCCAUCAGGGACAUCAAGAACCGCGCCCAGGAGGUGGCUGACCGGCGUGACAGAUACAAAGUUGAUGGUGUUGUUACUAAUCCAGCUGGCAAACAAAAGAUUGAUCCUCGUGUCUUGGCUUUGUACAAGGAUCAGAAAGAGCUCGUUGGUAUUGAAGACGCACGGGACGAGCUAACCAAGAUGCUCACAGAUGAUGAUGGUCCCAAGCAGCAGCAGCACAAGAUGAAGAUAGUCUCUAUUAUUGGACCUGGAGGACUUGGCAAGACUACACUUGCUAAGGCAGUGUAUGAUAGGCUUCAAACACAAUUUACAUGCACAACAUUUGUUUUAGUGGGUCGAGACCCAGAAGUGAAGAAAGUUCUCAGGGAUAUCAUCUUGGAAGUUGACAAGAACAAGUGUAUGGGUGAUUUAGCCACAUUGGAUGAAACACAACUCAUCAGCAAACUCCGACGACUACUUGAGAAUGCAAGGUACCUCAUUGUCAUUGAUGACAUAUGGGAUCUAAAAGCAUGGGACAUUAUCAAAUGUGCUUUGCUUGAUAACAAUCAUGUGAGUCGGGUAAUCACAACUACCCGUAUUCUCGAUGUCGCCAAAAACACUGGAGAUAUUUACAAGCUAAAACCACUUUCUCACCAUUUGUCUGAAGAAUUAUUCUAUACAAGAUUGUUUGGUGGUAAAGAUAAAUGCCCUUUUGAUCAUCCGGCUGAAGUAUCAAGCAAAAUUUUACAGAAGUGUGGAGGUCUGCCAUUGGCAAUAAUUACACUAGCUAGUUUGUUGGCUGGUAAACCUAUGGAGAACUGGUCAAAAGUAUUCAACUCUAUUGGCUUUGGAUCUGGAGAUAAUAACAAAGAUGUAGAGAACACGAGGAAGAUAUUAUCAUUUAGUUAUUAUGAUCUACCUUGUCAUCUAAGGUCUUGCCUGCUGCAUCUGAGCGUAUAUCCAGAAGACGAUUUGAUCAUGAAAGACACAUUGAUAUGGCAGUGGGUUGCCGAAGGUUUUGUCAUUGAGGAACCAGGGGUAAGUUUAUUUGAGACCGGAGAAAGAUACUUUAACGAACUACUAAAUAGAAGCAUGAUCCAGCCAGUCGAGGAUUCAGUGAAGUACACAAUAUAUGCUUGUUGUAUUCAUGAUAUGGUGCUGGAUAUAAUUUGUUUGUUUUCAAAGGAACAAAAUUUUGUUACUAUAUUGGAUAGUAACGAAGAACACACACCUUCACAAUGCAAUGCCCGCAGGUUAGCUGUCCAAAAGAGAGUUCUGCCUCUGACUAACAUGAACAUGCCCAAACUGAGGUCGUGA